rnacentral:lncRNA from 1 species
CGAUGAGUUAGCGAACUGGUCUUCGGCUUGCUCCGGUACGGGCUCGACUCCGACUGGCUGCAGAUCAGCUACGGCUCCUUCUUCUGGCGCUGGGUGAAGCUCGUAUAUCCCGUCAACGAGGUUCAGCUCUACACGAAAUGCAAUGCAUCAAGUUGAAUUCCCAAGCUUUCUCAUAGGAUGCAAAACACGAAUUAGUACUGAAGAAGAAGUUAUAUUAGGGCCACAUUCACUUAAACAAGGUUCUACACCUUCUUUGUCUGCAUAAAGAAGGUGGGUUGUGGUACAAAACCUAGGGUUGAUUUGAUGAUGAUUGUGUACAUUUAUGUACUUAACUUUAUUAAACUUUAGAUUGGAAAGUUAUCCUAUUUCUGAAUGUUCUUUUGUACCUCUUCUAAAAAUUACCUUUAUCAUAAUUCGAGAUAUUCUUACAUUUAGCUUGGUUCAUCUUCCCAAUUUUAUUUCCAUCCUCAAACAGCAAGCUAUGAAGCCACAAAUUUGACAGGAACUUAAUCUUAUCAUAGAUAAGCUACUGUAUAAAUUUGAGGUCCAUUGGAGGUGCAUAAAAGGAAUUAGAAAUACUUUAUUACCUUAAGGUAGCAUAUACUUAAAAAAAUUUAAAACAGAAGCCAUAACGAAAUUGGUCAUAAAAUUUUAACAAUGCGUUAUAGGGGUGAUAUAGGGCCUUUGAUGAAUUUUUGAUAAUUUUUAGUGAAGGGCAUCUUUUUCCAUACAUUUACCCUAUAUAUUCUUCCCUAAAAAGGAAAAUGGUUUUCCUUUCUGUUUCUGAUCAGGUUCCAUAUUUUUCCUACAAACUACACUAUACCAUUGACUUAUUCUAAUUGGUUUCACAUUUUUAUCAUCUCUGGUUUAAUUAUUGUGCAAAGAGACAAGAGCAACCUUAGAUUUCCAUGAUAAAACUAAAAUAGAGAUUUAACCGUCUAAGCUAGGCUCCAAAUGAUUUUUAUAAGCUUCCAUUCUCUUAAACAAGCACUUGAGAGUUGGAUUUACCUUUUUAAUAUCUUUCUGUGAUUUGUUAUGAUUUAAUUAUCUUAAACAAGGAUUAAAUUAUAUAACAUUAAUCUUAGCAGAGACAUAUGCCAAAAUUAGUUUUAUUAAAAACUACACUUUAUACUGAGUCUAGCAAAAUUAUUUUGACAUUUUUCUGAAUUUUUUAUGAGUUUUGGUGAAUUUCUAAAGUUAACUACAUUUUCUGUCGAUUAUAAAAGAAAAACCGAGGCAAACUUACGGCCCCUAGGUCUAUACUUUAUUUAUGUAGGGGUCCCUGAUCUUUCACUAAAGCCCCUUAUUCGAGUUUCUAAACCGCAAUCGGGUCCCUGGGUGCGCGGUGGCGGCGGCCGGCCGAAAUUCCGGCAACUCGCCGGCGGCCUUGGGACGAUAAGUGGCCGAGGAGGCUUACGGGCUCACCUUGGGCCGGUUUGAAGCAGUUGGGGGUGACGGAGAGGCCCGGUCGGGGCGGAACGGCGCAAGGGCGGGGAGCUUCAAGUGGCGGCGAAGUCCGGCGGUGUUCCGGCGGCGGCGGCACUCUUCGCGGGCAACGAACGAGCUCUAGAGCUGCGCGAGGGGGAGGCGAAGCGGCGGGUGGUGUCGGCGAGGUGCGG